GUUGCAUUCACCUGUUCACAGCUCCUGAUGUUGAUGAGCAGAAAGCCUGCCGCGGCCGUUGAUUGGAGGAGCCGCAACACCAUGGUACUCUUCUCCUUGUAUCUUAGCCCCACCGGAGAUGUGAACUCAGGAUGGGCAAUGAAGACAGAAGUCGAGAAAACAGGUUCAAGAAAAUGAGACAUCAGUGAAUCACCAUGUUGGAUCAUACCAAUCAUAAAUGGACUGGAGGGAGAGGUCUUGAGUCCUCCCAGUUGCACAAGACGUGGCGGCUUAAAUUUUGCCUGCUCAGAGAGAUCACCAUACCACGGCCAUAUCUCAUGAUGCUCUCCAGUACAGCCUUCUGCUUUCCUCUAUAUUUGAAUGCAAUGUUUGCACCUUGUGUUCCACGUCGUUUAUUUAAAGCUGAUGUUAAUUAUCAUUUUGCUGAUAAAUUGUACAAUUUUAACUCCAGCUACCAAUGCUACCAAUGCUACCAAUGCUACCAAUGCUACCAAUGCUACCACAGGGCAAGAGGUAGGCCAGUGCCAUCCUCUGAGGGUUAGGGUCCAUCUAAUGCACACCAUACAGUGCAAUUGUACACCCUUUUGCACAUGCUCUACAGAGAAAACAAAGCUUUACAGUUUAUAGUGAAAAAUGUCGAUUAUAUAUAUUUAACCUCUGUAAUAGUCUAAAUAUUUAUUAUUGAGCCAUUUGUACAUAAUAGAGCUUUUUCAUUUAUUUUGUAACUUUGUAAUUUAUUGUAUUAUUGACUUUAGUUCAGUCUGUUAUUGUUACAGUCUUUGAGCAGCUGUAAUAAUUUCCUUAGAGAUUAAUAAAAGUAUUCUGAUUCUGAUUUUCGAUUACAAUGGAGUUCCACCUAAUGUGCAUGGGUUCGUUGUAGCAAUGUGGCCAUGCUUCCCGUGACGAACACCACAACAAACAUGGACGCUGAGGUGACGAUAUACCUGCUGCUCAGUCUGUGGCUUUAUGGAAGAUUUGGGGACCACAGUGCUCGUUUCAGGGUCUCAGUUUUGAUUUUCGUAACAAGACACACGUGACUCGUCAAUUAUAACUUUAGAUUUUACUAUAAAAAGGUACACGCCUGGCACAUUAUACACAGUAACCUGCCUAGUCAGCUUAUGUUGAUGUCUUCUAAUUUAGCAGAAGAUUUAUUCACAUACAAGGCAGAGAAAUUUUUGCCUCUGUCACAGAGUGGACAGCAGAGUUUUUGUUUUUGUUUGUUUGUUUAAUUAUUAGUAAGUGUGCAGUAUAUUAAGCAAAAAUGUAGCAUUUAACCUAGCUUGAUUUAGAAGUCUGUGGGAAAUUACCUCCUAACUCACGUUGUAACCAUUAGUAGUUCACGUUAUCCAGGAAGAGAUCAGCAAGUCAGGUCAUGUCAAAGGUUUACAGUGUAGUUUCACUUGUUGUGCCACAAAGUGAUUUCCAAUGUUUCUCUGUUUUUCUUAUGUCUAAUAUAUUGGCUUAUAUCGGUAUGUUUUGGUAAAUAAACUGUAAUGAACAGGAUUUGUGAAGGAGUUAUAAAGACAUGACUUGUUUUUGAAGUGUCUUUAUAACAGCGUAAUUGUUACAGACCUUUUGAUCACUUAAAGUGUGCUUACAGAACUGUGAUGUUAUAUUUCUUAGCUAGAUCUCUCUGGAAAGCCAUAUUUUUAAUGUCCAUAAGACUUCAGUCAUAUAACACAACCAGCCUUAUCAUGAAAUUACUGAAACCACAAUGUAAAAAAAUCAGAUAGGUAAAAAACACUUAACUUUGAAAUAUCGAUUCUUUUUGAUAAAUAUAUAUAUAGUCAUACAUAUUAGGAUAUGACUGAUUAGCAUGCAGUGUUAAAAACAAAUACAGGUAAGGCAGGUGAGGCUUGCAGUCAAAACUAUUCUUUGAAUAUCUGACUUAUAAAUAAAUACACAACGAUAUAACUACUGUGUAAUAGACAAACUACUGCAGAUCAUUUUUUUAUUAUUAACAAUACCAAAUUAUCAAAAAGGGCAGUUUUGUCACGUUCCAUUCCUACAUUCAACCUAACCCUUUUUAAGCACCUCCCAUGACACACAGUCCCAUCGCAUUAAAAAGACCCUUCAAAAUACUCUCAGGAUCAGCAGAACAAGAUACGAGAUGGGCCCUGGAAACUGCAGGAUCUGUGCGGCGCUCUUUACCUGCUUCAUCGUGUUGGGAUCUGCAGGUGGGAUUUGACUUUCAUCAAAUGUUUUUUGAAAACAGCAGCAGCGGUGUAAACACAAGACACUAGCAUUAUUAGCAUUAGCAUUAACGCCUGGGAGUUAGUUUAACUUAGCUUGGCGACAAGAUCGAAGAAGCUUCUGCACAAGACUAGGGGGGGAUCAGAACAAUGUUUGGCUACAACAUCGCUUUCCACACCCGUCAUUGUGUCUGUAGACAUAUACUGACCACCCGAUCGACCCCUGUUCCUGACAAGGCCUUUUAGCUCCUCAUGUCAAAGAUGCAAGCUGAGUCGACACCGGUUAGCCCAGUUGAUAAUCAAGCGAGACAUCAAAGUAGAUGAA